AUUCAACCCAAGAUUGGGUGAUUAGAUCUUUUUCUAGGAUUCUUGGAAUUUCAGAAUACUAGAACUGCAAGAAUGUAAGGCAGAACUCAUGGAGCCCAAUUCCUCUGCACGUGGAGAAAUUUCUCUGCAGUCUGAUCCCAAGUGGGCACUGGAUGACCAUGGCCAAUAAGCUACUCUAAUACUAAUCCCUGCCUGCAAGUGUACUCUUCAACCAGGGGACUUCUAUGAUUACUGAGUGUCAGUUGGAUUUUUUUCCCCCACAAAUAUGCCAACAUUCUCGCAUUUGUAAUUAUGAAAUUUAAUGGCAUAUUAUGCAAAUUAGAGGAAUUAAUGUCAUAAGGUCACAUAAGAGAGUGCACUUAGUAAUUGUUUUCUUUUUUCUAAGACAAUAACAACUUCCUAAUUAUCCAAAUGUAGCCACGUUUUAGGCUAUACUUUGCCUCUCUGGGCUGGAGUUAUCUUCACCUAGCCUCAUCUUAAUUAUGCUAACUAUGUGGCAAACUCCAGCCCAUCCCUCUAGGUUCUUUGUUUUAAUAAAUUUUUCUUAACACUUAAGCUUAUUUCAGUUCGGUUUCUGUGACGUGAACAUAGAAAUACAUGACAAAUACACACAGGUAACCUCAUGAGCACUGGUAUGCAGUUACAUUACUCUACACACAAAAUAGUAAAUGACUCAAUAGUUGUUUUUCUUCCAAGGAUUUUGUGCAUACAGAAGAAAUUCUGAACUUACCAGUAUUUCGCAGGCUUUCUGAUUCUCCAGGGAUCUCUGUUCCCUCUGAAAUACCUGCUGCUGGCCGAUGUCUGUAGCUCGUUUGUCCUCAUGGCUAGUAAACUGCUCCUGCAUCUGCUCUCCCUGUGUACACGUCUACUAGAUUCGGUUAUGCAAGAAAGAUGACUGGAACCCUAUCAGAGAUCAAUACCCAAAGAAGAGGACUUGUCCAACUGUCAAAAUAUUGGUGAAAGAAUAUAGAUUACAUGUUUUAAGUUAAGAAAAUUAUAUCAAGAAUUGUUAGAUGAGAAGGCAAUCAAAGGAUAUGAAGCUAAAACAGAUACCAUGCUAGGCACUUAAGGAGUUCAGAGUCUAAUGGGACUGGCAGAUAUGAAAAGCCAAUUAUUUCAUCAAUAAUAGCAAUAGCUAAUGCUAAGCAGUGCUUACUCGGUGCGAGAUCUUGUGCUAAGUGCUUCACAUGGCUUCUCUGAUUAAGUUCUCACAACAGUAUUGGAGACAAGGACUAUUAUUAACUUAAUUUUAUAUAAAAGUAAACUGAGGCUACAAAGUGAGAUCAGUAUUCUAUCUCAGGUCACUCAAGCAGUGCAGUAACUGCCGUCAGAGAAGUAAAUGCAAAGCUUGUUUUUUCUUGUGAAUAUUUAAAAUAAAUAUUUUAUUUGUGAAUAUCUUUAGAUAUACGAAGAUAGUACAUAGUUCCCACAUACCCCUCACCCAGUUCUAGGUGUAAGAGUUCCUUUAUAUUACCAUCUUAUAUUUCUGUGAUACAUUUGUCGAAACUAGGAGACGCACAUUGCUAUUAACUAAACUCGAGACUUUAUUCAGAUUUUACCAGUUUUCCCCUUGUUUCUAUUCAGGAUCCAAUCCAGGAAAUCCUUUUAUUUCAGGUUAUGUUUUAAGUCCAAAGACAGAGCAUAAAGAGGGUCACUAAGUUAGCUUGAGAAUGGCAGCCUGGAUGAUGUGAGGCAGGGAUAGAGGAAGACUUCCAAAGAGGAGGUGAUGCUUGAACUUGGCCUUGAAAGUUCAGGUAGAAUUAUCUAAGCAAAAAGCAAGGGAAGAGCAUUAAAAACAAACACAAAAACAUGUAAAAAUAUGGUAUAAUUGGGUGAAUUGUGAGUAGUUUAAAAUGAUUGCAGUAAAUGAUGUAUUUAGAAAACUGACAGGAGGUGAGACUAGGGAGUUAGGCCAGAGUGGAAAGUCAGAGGCCUGGAUACCAUGUUUAAGAAUUAUCACUUUAUAUUACAGGCUUUCAAAGCCAUGGAAAGGUGGGAGCAGAGGAAGAACCGUCAGGUUAUCAUGUUUGAAAGCUAAGUCUUGUAGUACUACGGAAGUAUAAAAGUUGGAUUGUCCAAGAGAGAUUAUUUAGGGUCUAUUGUCAUAGUCUGGGUGGGAAAUAAGGAAAAUGAUAAAAACCUAAACAAAGUCUAUGCCCGUAGAUAUGGAGAAGAAGAGUCAUAAUUGAAAGACAUGAAUGGGUUUAAGUUAACAUCACUUGAGAGAGGUUAGGCUUCAAGGUUGCUCUUUGGUUUAUUACAUGAAUGGUUGUACUAUUCAUUGCGAUGGGAAAUAAAGACAGGCAGAUAGAAAUGGGAAGAAAAUUGAGUUCAGUUUUUGACAUCUCUUUUCUAAAGGCUCUUUGGUACCACCAGUAGAAGAAGACCAAAGGCAAGUGAAAAUAAGGUUAUGGGGAUCAUAUCUGAGAUGAUGAUACAUACUGAGAAUUCUUUGCAUCAUAUUCAUGGUAUUAAACCCAGGCUCAGUGAGAAUGUAUAGGAUGACAGUAACUCAGAAUCUAGGAUUAAAUGGGAAAACAACUAAGAAUGAGCUCAUGGAAAGGGAGGAGGAAAGCUGUAGUAAAUGCUGACAGAGAAGAGAAUCUCAAAGGGGAAAUGUGGUCAGCUUUGCCCAAUGCUUCACAGUUGUUGAAAAAAUAAGGAAUGAAAGUUCAACACUUCUGGCUUUAGCUCCAACACGUAAAGAUCUUGGCAGUCGUCAGUCCUGUCUUUACAACAAGAAAAAGGAUGAACAAACUGAAAAUCAACGACUUUUCUUGGACCCAUUAGAGGACUGAGGUUAUAGGGCAAAUCGUCACUCCCAAAUCUGGAGAGUUAAGUGAAUACCAAAAGUGACAGCUGGCAUCUGUUACCUGGAGCAGGACACACUAGGGCCCUAAACUGGUAGGGAGAUGUAAAUGGUAACUUUGACGAAUUGUGGAGGAAUGUGGGCUGCCUGGGAGAAAGAAACUCCAGAGAAACCCCAUUUUUAUGUGUUUUACCUCCAGAAACAUCACCGGGUCCUCAAGGUAAAGACAAGGAAGAUCUCUUCAUGGCUCUGGGAAGGGGAGGGGAAAAUUAACCAUUGUGAAAUAAGCCCAGAGCAUUCUUCAUGACAAAGGCCUACUCAGGGGGAAAUACUUUACCAGAGCCUUUUCCCACCCAAGUGAGGGGCCUUUCCCAGACUCCAGCCCUCUCUAGACCUUUUGUCUCACAUAAGGGUAAAAAAGCUAUAAACAUGUGUGAAGGUAACAGUGCAGAGACACAAGCCCACCGCAAGAAUGAUAUUUAAUCAUAAGAUUAUAGAAAGUUUCCCCUCCUCACAACAAAUUGCAAUAAAUAACGGUGGAUCAUAGCUAAAAGAGCUGCAAGAAAUUGACCCUGUCUGAAGAGCAGUACAAAGAGGAGCCCCAUUGUCAAAAGGGAGACAAAAUAAGGACAUUAGAGGCACUUGAAGCCUGUGGUCCCUACAGGUACAGCAAAUGUUACACAAAACACAGCUCCUAGCCAUAUAACAUAAAACCUUAAAUGACAAUGUCUAUGUUCAGAUUUCAACACAAAUUGCAAGGUGACCUAGAAGGCAGUACACAAAACCAAACAAAGAAGUACCCAAACCCCCCUAGUAUGAAGAGACAAAACAAGAUCAGAACCAGAUUAAGACACAGAUUUUAGAAUUAUCAGACAGGGAUUUGAAAUAACUAUGAUUCAUAUGUUAAGGACUCUAAUAGAAAAAGUAGACAACAUGCAAGGAUAGAUGGGUAAUACAAGCAAAGAGAUGAAAACACUAAGAAAGAAUCAAAAUAAGUGUUAAAAAUCAAAAACACCAUAACAGAAAUGAAGAAUGCCUUUGAGGGACUCAUCAGUAGAUGAGACAUGAUAAGGCAAAAAUCAGUGUGCUUGAAGAUACGUCCUUAGAAACUUCGCCAAAUGAAAUUCAAACAGAAAAAAAAAGGACAACAAAAAAACCAGAACAGAAUAUCCAAAAACUAGGGCAAUUUCAAAAGUUGUAACAUGUGCAUAAUUGAAAUACUAGAAUGAGAAGAAAGAGAGAAAGGAGCAGAAGAAAUAUUUAAUAUAAUAAUAGCUGCAAAUUUUCCAAAAUUACUGACAAGACAUGAAACCAUAGACCCAGGAAGCUCAGAAAACACUCACAGGAUAAAUAUGAAAAAUUCUACACAUAGGUACGUUGUCUUCAAACCACAAAGAAACUAACACAAAGAGAAAAUCUUGAAAAACUCCCAGAGAUGGGCGAGAAACACUUUGCAAAUAAUGGCACAAGGAUAGGAAUUACAGUGUUCUCAUCAGAAAUCAUGCAAGCAAGAAAGGAGUGGAGUGAAUUAUUUAAAUAGUGGAAAGGAAAAAACAUACUAUGAACCUACAAUUCUACAUCUAUAGAAAUUAUCCUUCAAAAUGAAGGAGAGAUAAAGACUUCCUCAGACAAACAGUAACUGAGGGAUUUCAUUGUAGCAGAUCUUCCCUGCGAGAAAUGGUAAAAGAAAUUCUUCAGGGAGAGGGGAAAUAAAUGAUAUGAUCAGAAACUUUUAUUUCAUAAAGAAAGGAAGAAUGUUGGAGAAAGAAUAAA